UACGUAGGGUGCGAGCGUUAAUCGGAAUUACUGGGCGUAAAGCGUGCGCAGGCGGUUCGUCGUGUCCGAUGUGAAAGCCCCGGGCUCAACCUGGGAAUGGCAUUGGAAACUGGCGGACUCGAGUGUGGCAGAGGGGGGUGGAAUUCCGCGUGUAGCAGUGAAAUGCGUAGAGAUGCGGAGGAACACCGAUGGCAAAGGCAGCCCCCUGGGCUAACACUGACGCUCAGGCACGAAAGCGUGGGGAGCAAACAGG
rnacentral:rRNA from 1 species